GAAUAUGAAGCGAUAUAUUGCAAUUAGUUUCGACCUAAUUCUAGGUAAUUUUACCCUU
rnacentral:tRNA from 1 species